UGAGGGAAAGGCGAAAAGAACCCCGGCGAGGGGAGUGAAAAAGAACCUGAAACCGUGUACGUACAAGCAGUGGGAGCCCCACCACUAAGCCAGUGGUGAACUCCACAUCCGCAUCCUUUGCUGAGGAUACGGUUAACGGAGCGAAAGCGACGUUCAACCGCAAAACAAGCAGAGGGGGCUUAGUGGUGGGGUGACUGCGUACCUUUUGUAUAAUGGGUCAGCGACUUAUAUUCUGUAGCAAGGUUAACCGAAUAGGGGAGCCGGAGGGAAACCGAGUCUUAAUUGGGCGUUAAGUUGCAGGGUAUAGACCCGAAACCCGGUGAUCUAGCCAUGGGC
rnacentral:rRNA from 1 species